UACGUAGGUGCCGAGCGUUGUCCGGAUUUACUGGGCGUAAAGAGCGCGCAGGCGGUCGUACAAGUCGCGUGUGAAAGCCCCCGGCUCAACUGGGGAGGGUCACGCGAUACUGUUCGACUCGAAGGCAGGAGAGGGUAGUGGAAUUCCCGGUGUAGUGGUGAAAUGCGCAGAUAUCAGGAAGAACACCCGUGGCGAAAGCGGCUCUCUGGAACGGUACUGACGCUGAGACGCGAAAGCGUGGGGAGCGAACAGG
rnacentral:rRNA from 1 species